rnacentral:lncRNA from 1 species
AUUGAACAAAAAGAUGCUUCCAAAUUAACAAAUCAGCAGUAUUCUUGAUUUUGGGAAAUGUAUUACCCUAAACUUUUAAUCACCACAACUUGAUUCUAGGACAAUAAACAUUUCAUAAUAUAUUGAAAUCACUUAAAAACACAAAAACGCAAGUUACAGUGCACAAAAAACUAAACAUAUCAACAUAAAAUUAAAUAAAAAUCAUAAAAAAGUUUAAAAUAGUGAAAAAUCUUGGCGAACCUAAGGUUUAUAAAUUUUUGAAGAAUUUUCUUCUUCUUCUUUGAGCUUCCUUCUUCACCAACAUUGGAAGUUUCUGAUUUUGACUGUUAUAAUUUGGGGCUUUCAGAGUUUCGGUGGUUCAGAGUUUUUCAAGAGGCGUCGGAGAAGACGGUAAGAAAAGUCAUGGAUGAGGAGGGUUUUUCUUUGGAGCCUUUUGGAAUGGCCAAUGGGAUUUGCUGAGAAAGGAG